rnacentral:rRNA from 1 species
UACGUAGGGCGCAAGCGUUAUCCGGAAUUAUUGGGCGUAAAGAGCUCGUAGGCGGUUUGUCGCGUCUGCCGUAGAAAGUCCGGGGCUCAACUCCGGAUCUGCGGUGGGUACGGGCAGACUAGAGUGAUGUAGGGGAGACUGGAAUUCCUGGUGUAGCGGUGAAAUGCGCAGAUAUCAGGAGGAACACCGAUGGCGAAGGCAGGUCUCUGGGCAUUAACUGACGCUGAGGAGCGAAAGCAUGGGGAGCGAACAGG